AGAUUGAACGCUGGCGGCAUGCCUUACACAUGCAAGUCGAACGGCAGCACGGGAGCAAUCCUGGUGGCGAGUGGCGAACGGGUGAGUAAUACAUCGGAACGUGCCCAAUCGUGGGGGAUAACGCAGCGAAAGCUGUGCUAAUACCGCAUAAGAUCUACGGAUGAAAGCAGGGGAUCGCAAGACCUUGCGCGAAUGGAGCGGCCGAUGGCAGAUUAGGUAGUUGGUGAGGUAAAGGCUCACCAAGCCUUCGAUCUGUAGCUGGUCUGAGAGGACGACCAGCCACACUGGGACUGAGACACGGCCCAGACUCCUACGGGAGGCAGCAGUGGGGAAUUUGGACAAGUGGGCGAAAGCCUGAUCCAGCCAUGCCGCGUGCAGGAU
rnacentral:rRNA from 1 species